rnacentral:lncRNA from 1 species
GUCCAUUCCAGGCCUCUCUGUAGCUCCUGGUGGAUUUCUCAGGGCGGAUUGGUUUGGCCUCCAGCCUCCCACGGUCUCCUCAGUGUUUCUGUGUCCUUGGAGUGAAAGUCGUUCAGUCGUGUCUGACUCUUUGCGAUCCUCUAGACUGCAGCCCGCCAGGCUCCUCUGCCCGUGGCAUUCUCCAGGCAAGAAUGCUGGAGUGCGUAGCCAUUCCAUUAUCCAGGGGAUCUUCUUGACCCAGGGUUCAAACCCAGGUCUCCUGCAUUGCGGGCAGAUUCCUUACCGUCUGAGCCACCAGAGAAGCCCCUAGUCCCACCUUUCUCGUGUUAGGACCCCUGUUGUCAGAUUAAGCACCCACAUAAAUCAAGAUGAACUCAUCUCAAGACCUGAAUUGCACCUGUAGGCAAAUCCCAUCUGUUCUCAAAUAAGCUCAUAAUGGCAGAUUCUAGGGGUUCGGAUGCGGGCAUAUCUUUCUGGGGUCCCCAUUUAACCCCGCUCCAGAGGGCAGGGACUGGAAGGAGCUGUUGCGGGCAUGGUUUACAGGGCUGUGCUGGGGUGAGGGGCCCCACGGGGCAGGAGAGGCGUUCCCGCUCUGUAACUCCAGGGAUAACUCCAUCCGGGCUCCAGGGAUAAUGAGGUGAGUCAGCACCCUGACACCGCGCCGGUCUCCAGACCCGCUGGCCUGGCUGACGAGCAGCUCGGUGAUGAGCAGAUGCGUGAGGGUGGCAGGGAUGGCCCGUGGGUGGCAGGAGGUGAGGAGGAGCUGCCAGGCAGGAAAGGGCAGGUCUGGGAGCGGCUGGUGUGUUCCGGACCUGGAGGGAACCGCCCAGCAAGGCCAGAGCGAGAAGCCGCAGAGCCGGUUCCUCCAAGGUCAGCUUGGGUGAGCGAACCCGGCCGGCGUCUCCCCUGCCCUCCACUCACUGUCCCCUUGGUGGCCGACGGCCUGCAGCCAGCAGCUCUACGGAGGGACAGUUCCCGCAACGGUGGAGUCCACCGUCGUCAAGCGUGCCAUCCGGUGACGUUCAGCACGUUUCCAGGUCCACACAGUCGCCCCUCGGUCUGGUCCUGGGACCCAGCCAGCGCCGGUCUGCAGUCAAUCCCCAGGCGACCAUGGGUCUGCUUUCUUUGUCUAUUGCGCCUCGUGUGCACAUUUUGAAAUACACAGAAUCGCAUAAUAUGUCAGUUUGGAGUCUGGCUGUCUCACGCUUGGCUUGAUGUUUUGGAGGUUUGUCUGCGGUGUGGCACGCAUCAGAUAGCCACUCAUUCCCUUUCAUUGAUAAAGAGCGUUUCCUUGGAGGUGUCAGCUAUGUUUUGCUUAUUCGCUGCUCAUUUGAUGGACAUUCGCGUUGUUUCUAGUUUGGGGCUGUAAUGAAUGUUGCUGUUGUGAACAUCUGCAUAUAGUCUUGGUGUGGGUGGAUGUUUUAUUUCUCUCUGGUGAAAUCUUUUUAUUUAUUUUUCUGGCGUUGCCGAGUCUUAGUUGUGACAUUGAUAGCUUACGGUGAACAGAGUCGGAUUCGGAUUACAGUGUCAGAUUCGAGAUCUCUGAAGAAGAUUUAGCUUCAGGACCAGAAAGCAGGCUUGACCACUCAGGGCUCUUGUGUGGGGGAAGUUUUAUUACAGUGAAAGUGGCGGAGAAAGCUUCUGACACAGACAUCGGGAGAGGGGGAAGGGGGCGGACAGCGCCCCGCUCGCUAGUGUUUGGCAAGGGAAUUAUAUACUUUUUAACUAGUUAUUACAGUAAAUCCAAAGAAUGUCCCAAGCUGGUGGAAAUUUUACCAGACUCACUCCCACAAUUUACAUUUUAGGAUAACAGGAUUAGAAUUUAACAAUAGAAAGAUCCUACCAGAUCCACUCCCACAAUUUACAUUCUAAGAUAAUAGGAUUAGUCAGAAGGUUUUCAGGAAAGAGAAACUGUCCUCAAGCAGGAUACACUGUUAUCGAAUCCCUAGUACAGAGUUUAAACUGAGUUGUUUGCUGUGUAAUCAAUCAUCAGUGCCGGGCUUAAAGAAAAAAGCCCGGAAAGAAAGAAUCAUCAGUUCCGGGCUUAGUCACGUGGCUAAGACUAAGGAAUGUAGAGGGGAAAAAAAGGUUGUCCUUUCCUCCUUGAGAACCCCAGACCCCUCUCUCCUGGAGGACCCCCGGACUUCUUAUCAACCUGCCUAGGAACUGACUUUCUCAGCACUGAAGCCUUAGCUUCUCGUUGUGGCAUGCAGAAUCUUUGGCUGUGGCUUUCAAUUCUUAGUUGCGUCAUGUGGGAUCUAGUUUCCUGACCAGGGAUCGCACUGAGAUAGAUAGAUAGAUAGAUCUCACUGAGUCUUAGCUGCUGGAUCACCAGGGAAAUCCCUCUCUCAAGUAGAUUCUUAAGUGAACUUGCUCUCACGCCCCUGAGAGGUGGGUGCCCUUGUAGUCACCCCCAUUUUACAGAUGAGGGGAGUAAGGCUCAGAGGUAUAAGUCCAUGAUCACUUUUUAAGAAACUUGUCAGCUUCUUUCUCCCAAAGUGGUUGUGCCAUCUCCACCCUAGUGUACAUUUCCACUGCAGCAAUGUCUGCAGCGCUCACUUCUGCGUGUCUUACUCACAUCUGUCUUCUUUACUACGGUUACUUUUGCGGGGGUGUAGAAGCAGAUCACUGCAGUUUUAAUUUGUAUUUCUCUAAUGACUAAUGAUGUUGAAUGCCUUCUCAUGUGCUUAUUAUCCAUUCACGUAUCUCCUCUGGUGAAAUGCCUAUUCAGUUCUUUUGUCCAUGUUUGAAUUGCUUUUUAUUUUUGGUGGGGUCUUCUCAAGGUUUAAGAAUUCAUAUAUUCUGGAUACAAGGUUAUUUUAUACCCUACUGAGUUCUCUCCGCACUUUUGCCAAAAAUCUAUUACCUAGCUGGAUUUAUUUCUGGACUCUGAACUCUGUUCCAUUGAUCUAUACAUUUUUCCUUCCGUGAGUGCCUCAGUGUCUUAAUUACUGAGGCUUAACAGGAAGUUAGAAAUCAGGGAGAGUAAGUCUUCCAACUUUGCUGUUUUUAAAAAUUAUUUUGCCAAUUCUAGGUCUUUUGCAUUUCUAUAUAAAAUUUAGGAUCCAUAAAAAAAAGCCUAAUGAGAUUUUAUGGGAAUUACACUGGAUUUAUUGAUCAAUUUGUAAAGAAUUGCCAUCUUGGCAAUAUUGGGUCUUCCAAUCCAUGAACGUGGAAUAUUUCUCCAUUUAUCUAGAGCACCUUUAACCUCUCCCUCUCGGCGUUGGAUUACAGUGUUUCAGGCCUUGCAGCUCUUUUGUUAAACGUAUUCCCAAGCACUUUAUUCUUUUCGAAGCAAUUGUAAAUGGAAUUGUUUCCUUCAUAUCAUUUUUGGAUUGCUUGUUCCUAGUAUACAGAAAUGCAGUUGAGUUUUGUGUGUUGGUCUUGUAUUGUGCAGUCUUGCUAAUCUUGUUUAUUAGUUCUACUGGUGUUUUUAUGGGUCUCUGGGGAUUUUCUACAUAAGGGAUCGCAUCAUCUGUGAAUAAACAUAGUAUAAUGUUUUCAUUUUGAAUCUGGAUACUUUUGAUUGUGUGUCUUCUUGCUCUGGUUAUAACCGCUGGUCAAAUAUUGAAUAAAAGUGGUACGAAC